rnacentral:tmRNA from 1 species
GGGGGCGACCGGUUUCGACGGGGAUGUUGAAGGUUUGGUUGCGUGUCCGUCGGCCCAAGCACGACGUAAAAACGUUUGGGACGUACAACUGCCAACGAUAACGCAGUUGCUCUCGCGGCCUAAGUAAAGCCAAGGGAGCCGUCGAAGUUAGAAGCUUGCCUGUGCUUCUAGCGGAGGCGUCAUUUGAACGGGCUGGUCAUCGCGAGUCGGGUUCGGCGCGAUGACGAGAUGAAGAACCACUAGCGUUGGUGCGAGCCUGUUUGUGGGCGCAAGCCAAGGCGAAUUUCAAAACACAAACUACGCACGUAGAUGUCAUUCUGGACCAUUUUCGGACGUGGGUUCGAUUCCCACCGCCUCCACCA